rnacentral:lncRNA from 1 species
AUGUUGAAAAGAAACUGAACAUAAUUGAUAAAACUUACUUUGAAUAAUUCUGGAUUUUUAUUUUCAUCAUUCGACUCUCUUUAGUGUUUUUAAGAUUAAAAUCCAUACAUACUUUCCAUGCAUUGAAGUUUCAUUUUGUAUAAAAACACUUCAAAAUGUAGACUUUUAUGUAAACUGUACAUCAUUUAUGACAAUUUUCUUUGUAGGAUUAUAAC